rnacentral:rRNA from 1 species
GAAAAGAAACCAACAGGGAUUGCCCUAGUAACGGCGAGUGAAGCGGCAACAGCUCAAAUUUGAAAGCUGGCUCUCGGGCCCGCAUUGUAAUUUGCAGAGGAUGCUUCUGGCGACGCGCCUUCCGAGUUCCCUGGAACGGGACGCCAUAGAGGGUGAGAGCCCCGUCCGGUCGUGCGCCUAGCCUCUGUGAAGCUCCUUCGACGAGUCGAGUAGUUUGGGAAUGCUGCUCAAAAUGGGAGGUAUACGUCUUCUAAAGCUAAAUACCGGCCAGAGACCGAUAGCGCACAAGUAGAGUGAUCGAAAGAUGAAAAGCACUUUGAAAAGAGAGUUAAAAAGUACGUGAAAUUGUUGAAAGGGAAGCGCUCAUGACCAGACUUGGGCUGGCCCGAUCAUCCGGCGUUCUCGCCGGUGCACUCGGGCCGCCCAGGCCAGCAUCAGCUUUCGCCGGGGGAUAAAGGCGGCGGGAAUGUGGCUCCCUCGGGAGUGUUAUAGCCCGCCGUGCAAUACCCUGGUGGGGGCUGAGGUUCGCGCGUAUGCACGGAUGCUGGCGUAAUGGUUAUCAGCGACC